AUUGAACGCUGGCGGCAUGCCUUACACAUGCAAGUCGAACGGCAGCACGGGUGCUUGCACCUGGUGGCGAGUGGCGAACGGGUGAGUAAUAUAUCGGAACGUACCUUAUUGUGGGGGAUAACGCAGCGAAAGCUGUGCUAAUACCGCAUAAUCCCUAAGGGGGAAAGCGGGGGACCGUAAGGCCUCGCGCAAUUAGAGCGGCCGAUACCUGAUUAGCUAGUUGGUGAGGUAAAGGCUCACCAAGGCAACGAUCAGUAGCUGGUCUGAGAGGACGAUCAGCCCGCCUGGGACUGAGACACCGCCCAGACUCCUACGGGAGGCAGCAGUGGGGAAUUUUGGACAAUGGGGGCAACCCUGAUCCAGCAAUGCCGCGUGAGUGAAGAAGGCCUUCGGGUUGUAAAGCUCUUUUGUCAGGGAAGAAACAGCAGCUCUAACACAGUUUGCGAAUGACGGUACCUGAAGAAUAAGCACCGGCUAACUACGUGCCAGCCGCCGCGGUAA
rnacentral:rRNA from 1 species